ACUGACGUGGCCAGCGAGUACUCCCUUGGCCGGAAGGCCCGGGUAAUCUUGUUAAACCACGUCGUGCUGGGGAUAGAGCAUUGCAAUUAUUGCUCUUCAAC
rnacentral:ncRNA from 1 species